GUGGGGAAUAUUGCGCAAUGGGGGAAACCCUGACGCAGCAACGCCGCGUGAGUGAUGAAGGCUUUCGAGUCGUAAAACUCUGUCUUUGGGGACGAAUAAUGACGGUACCCAAGGAGGAAGCCCCGGCUAACUACGUGCCAGCAGCCGCGGUAAUACGUAGGGGGCAAGCGUUGUCCGGAAUCACUGGGCGUAAAGGGCGCGUAGGCGGUUUGUUAAGUCAGGUGUGAAAGUUUUCAGCUUAACUGGAAAAGUGCACUUGAAACUAACUUACUUGAGUACUGGAGAGGUAAGCGGAAUUCCUAGUGUAGCGGUGAAAUGCGUAGAUAUUAGGAAGAACACCGGUGGCGAAGGCGGCUUACUGGACAGAGACUGACGCUGAGGCGCGAAAGCGUGGGGAGCGAACAGGAUUAGAUACCCUUGUAGUCC
rnacentral:rRNA from 1 species